AUACUUACCUGAACGGGGUCGACGGCUGAUCAAGAAGAGUCGUGGCCUAGGCUAGUGCUCCACAUUGCACUUGGUGGAUGCGCUCGCUUACCAUCUCCCCCAAGUGAGAGCGGACGUCAUAAUUUAUGAUAUAGGGGUACGUGUUCGCGCGGCCUCUAU
rnacentral:snRNA from 1 species